CCGCGCGCAGUUCUCUCUUUGAAAGCUUUUAAUUUUGGAAAAGUUAGAUUGUCGUGUGGAUUGUAGGGCAUUCUCGGGUCCUGUUGUACCUGUUCUGAAAUUAUCAAGCUAUGUGAUUGUUGAUGAUAAGCUUGCAUUUUGUUUCCUAUUGGUCAUUAACUGCACACAUUUAACAAUGUUAUUUUGCAGGCAACUUGCUUAAACCUGUGGAUGUCUCAUCUGAUAUGGAUACCCGGCCUACUACUUAUGGUCAGCUAAAUCCUCCACUUAGGAAGCAUCGCCUAAAAGUAUGUUCCUUUUGGAGCAUACUCGUGCUUCCAGUAUUGAUUCAUGUGUAAAAAAUUGCUGACUAACUGCAAGUUUCCAUACAAUU
rnacentral:lncRNA from 1 species